rnacentral:lncRNA from 13 species
CUUAACUUGGUUGGCUUUACAAAGUGUUCUGGUGUGUGUGGACGACAAGACAUCAAGAAAAAUGUUCAAAGGUGCUUAUCUUCUGGUGGUCAUGACAGUCUUAGCUGAGGUGGUUGUUGAGAGCUCUGGCAGCAUUUUCCCUAUGGACGAGGUGUCAGAUUGUCUGAAAAGAGGUUACACAGCAGCCGAAAAGAGAAAUUGUGGUUUCGAUGAAGCCUGUGAAGAUGCAAAAUAUAAGGAUGCAAUACUGCCAUGCAUACUCUUAGGAUAUGAUCUCAUUUACCAAGACUCAUCAUAUCACAGGAAUAGUGACUUUGACAUGUAUGGUAUGGCUCAUUGUGCAAUAGACAGAUGUUCUGAGGGAUGGAAAAAGAAACCGAAAGCCCAUGGCAACCAAUUGCAGAUCUUGUCAGGGUUGGCUGAGUCAUUCUCCUCUUGCCUGGCUGCAGUGAAGGACUGUACAAAGCCUGAAAGGAAGAAAGAGGAGCUCUGAGUAUGAUUUAAUCUCACGUCUGUUGUCCUACUUUAUGGGGGAAGUUAAUAAGUGUCUAAGGAAAUGUACUAACAUUGCUAUAAUGGCAUGUGCACUCCAAAAUUCUGACUUCUUUCAAUGCUCAUGAUUCCAAACUAGAAGUUGCUUCUUUGUCUUGCCACUAGAUGGUGGCCUGUACCUUUUCAGAAUAAGCAAAAAAUAAAACACUGUUUUUUAAGUAAGAAUAAGUGAGAAUAAGGAAGAAUAGGCUGUACCUUUCUAUGUGGUAAAUCAGUGGCUCACAAACCUUUUUGCUGUGGAGACCUACCAAAAGCUGUCAUAUUUUUCUAGUGACACCACAAAUAAAGUAAACCUAUAUUAAUUGUCACAAACCUGCUCUCCUUCCUCUCUGUCCAUAUAUAUGUCUCUGGUUUGGUCAACCAGGAAGAUGUCAGUUAGACUGAGUGCUGGGAUGGUAGGGCUUGGCCCCUUGGUGUGGAGGUGUUUAGGGGUUAAAUGCAGGCAUCAUGUUGGAAUUAGGGUCUUGACAGUGCAGUGUAGGGGUGCUGUGAGUUUCUAGGAGAGGGAGUAAAUGGCUUAAAGAAGUGUUCCUAAAUCAGGGUCCAUCAGGAUGUGCAGUUAUUUGCUCUAACCGAGCACUAACACACCCUUGAUUAGUUGAAUCAAGUGUUUUCAUGGAGUACCCUCAUUUAGGAACACUGCAGCUUAAAAUAUUGGAGGAUUUGAGAAUAUUUUUUCCACGUGGAAGUGAAAAAGCUCUGCAAUUAGUGUGCUGUCCAGGGGAUUUACUUGUACAUCAAUGCUGCCUCACCACAGAAUCAGCAUAUAAACGCCUGUCCUAUGGUUUGGACGAGGAGCAAACUAGGGAUUUGUUACAGGUUCAAGUGUAAUCUUUUUGUUGGAUCUGUUCCUGUAGACAAUAUUUUAUGACCGUUUUUACUUUGAAAUAGUAAAUACUAUAUCUGUGCAAGUGCUAUAUCUUCGUGGAUAUGUUGUGUUUGUUUCUGAAAUAAAGAUGACAAUAAUAUACUGAUCAAAAAUAUAAUCGCAACGUGAAGUUGCUUGAGGUGCUUAAAGUACUUGCAUUUGGCACUCAGAAAGACUGAAAUACGUUGAAAAUGUUACAUUUUCUCAAGUUGGUAGUUAAAAAGUACUUGAAUUAAAAUGAGAGGAGAACCGAUAAUGAUCAGAUAUGUUUAUGAAAAAUAUUAGAAAUAUGUAUUGGUCUUGCGAAUUAAUUUCCAGUGUGUUUCGCGCGGUGUUGCCAUGGAAGAUCGCUCAUUCCACCCAUACUGCCACUCAGUCAGGCAGGUACAGAACCGUCUGAGUAGGCGCCGCCAAACGUCACAUCGAUUGCUAAAAUGGCAGGCAAAUGUAUAUUCAACCCUGUCUUUUAUGCGAAUGGAACAUUUCUAGGAUAUUUUAUUUCAGCUCAUGUACAAUGGGACCAACACUUGUUGCGUUUUAUAUUUUGUUCGGUAUAGUUUACCCAACUUUUUUACCACUACAUUACUGGACCAAACCAACCCAGAGACAAUUUAUGCUCGAUCUGAAAAUGUGGUCGGAGCGCGGUAUGGAUGGUGUAACGCAAUCGCGAGGCACGCCGGGGCCAAAUUGAGCUCAGUAGGCAUCGCGGUGAAUUUGACUUGCCACUGUCUGUAGGUCCCUGAAAGUGUAGGUCUCAUGUUUCAUGAGCUGAAAUAAAAGAUCCCAGUAAUGUUCCAUAUGCACAAAAGCAUAUUUCUCUCAAAUGUUGUGCACAAAUGUGUUUACAUCACUGUUAGUGAGCAUUUCUCCUUUGCCAAGAUAAUCAAUCUAUCUGACUGGUGUGGAAUAUCAAGAAGCCUUGUGCUGGGGAAAAUAAAAGGCCACUCUAAAAUGUGUAGUUUUGUCACACAAGAAAAUGCCACAGAUGUCUCAAGUUUUGAGGGAGCUUGCAAAUGGAAGCUGACUGCAGGAAUGUCCACCAGAACUGUUGCCAGAUAAUUGAAUGUUAAUUUCUCUACCAUGGAGUUGUGUGGGCGAGCGGUUUGCUGAUGUCAACAUUGUGAACAGAGUGUCCCAUGGUGGCAGUGGGGUUAUGGUAUGGCCAGCAUAAGCUACGGACAAGGAACACAAUUGCAUUUUAUCGAUGGUAAAUUGAAUGCACAGAGAUACAGUGACGAGAUCCUGAGGCCCAUUGUCGUGUGAUUCAUCUGUUGCCAUCACCUCAUGUUGCAAAGGUCUGUACACAGCUCCUGGAAGCUGAAAAUGUCCCAGUUAUUCCAUCUCCUGCAUACUCACCAGACAUGUCUCCCAUUAAGCAUGUUUGGGAUGCUUUGGAUCGAGUUCCAGUUCCUGCCAAUAUGCAGCAACUUUCACAGCCAUUGAAGACGGGACAACAUUCAACAGGCCACAAUCAACAGCCUGAUCAACUCUAUGCAAAUGACGUGUGUCUCGCUGAAUGAGGCCACACCAGAUACAGACUGGUUUCAUGAUCCACACCCCUACUUUUUUUUAAAGGUGUCUGUGACCAACAGAUGCAUAUCUGUAUUCCCAGUCAUGUGAAAUCCAUAGAUCAGGGCCUAAUUCAUUUAUUUCAAUUGACUGAUUUCCUUAUAUGAACUGUAUCUCAGGAAAAUCUUUUAAAUUAUUACAUGUUGCAUUUAUAUUUUUGUUCAGUGUACAUUGAUUCACGGCCCAGUGUACGUCUUCCCCUGGUAACGCACGUAGCAACUCAU